rnacentral:rRNA from 1 species
CCUACGGGGGGCAGCAGUGGGGAAUAUUGGACAAUGGGGGCAACCCUGAUCCAGCCAUGCCGCGUGUGUGAAGAAGGCCCUCGGGUUGUAAAGCACUUUCAGUGAGGAAGAACGCCUGGUGGUUAAUACCCAUCAGGAAAGACAUCACUCACAGAAGAAGCACCGGCUAACUCCGUGCCAGCAGCCGCGGUAAUACGGAGGGUGCGAGCGUUAAUCGGAAUUACUGGGCGUAAAGCGCGCGUAGGUGGCUUGAUAAGCCGGUUGUGAAAGCCCCGGGCUCAACCUGGGAACGGCAUCCGGAAGGGUGAAGAAAGAGUGCAGGAGAGGAAGGUAGAAUGCCCUGGGGAGCGGUGAAAUGCGGCGAGAACGGGAGUAAAACCAGUGGCUAAGGAGGACCCAUGGACUGACACUGACACUGAUGUUCGAAAGCGUGGGUAGCAAAGAGAGAUAGACAGCCCGGAGGUC